rnacentral:rRNA from 1 species
ACGGGUGAGUAAUGUCUGGGAAACUGCCCGAUGGAGGGGGAUAACUACUGGAAACGGUAGCUAAUACCGCAUAACGUCGCAAGACCAAAGUGGGGGACCUUCGGGCCUCACACCAUCGGAUGUGCCCAGAUGGGAUUAGCUAGUAGGUGGGGUAAUGGCUCACCUAGGCGACGAUCCCUAGCUGGUCUGAGAGGAUGACCAGCCACACUGGAACUGAGACACGGUCCAGACUCCUACGGGAGGCAGCAGUGGGGAAUAUUGCACAAUGGGCGCAAGCCUGAUGCAGCCAUGCCGCGUGUAUGAAGAAGGCCUUCGGGUUGUAAAGUACUUUCAGCGGGGAGGAAGGCGGUGGAGUUAAUAGCUUCACCGAUUGACGUUACCCGCAGAAGAAGCACCGGCUAACUCCGUGCCAGCAGCCGCGGUAAUACGGAGGGUGCAAGCGUUAAUCGGAAUUACUGGGCGUAAAGCGCACGCAGGCGGCCUGUCAAGUCGGAUGUGAAAUCCCCGGGCUUAACCUGGGAACUGCAUUCGAAACUGGCAGGCUAGAGUCUUGUAGAGGGGGGUAGAAUUCCAGGUGUA